rnacentral:sRNA from 1 species
AGGAAGUCUCACAGGUAUCAAUUAUCUGAAAAGAAUUAAAAUUAUUUUGGACACAGAAUUUAAACUUCUGUUUAUAAUACCAUGGAUUAAAAGAUAGGAAAGAUUCACAUAUCAUGAUAAAAUCAUAGAUAAUAGGGUUUAAUUCUUUUACACCCCACCAACUACUCUACAAAAUAACCAAGAGAACAGAACAAAUCAAACCCCUGUAGAUCCAAACCCACCCUCACCCCUCACAGUUUCAUCUAAAUCAUCAACCUCAGUAACACUGGGAGUGACAAUCUUCUCAAUGAUAAGUUGCGCAACCCUAUCUCCAACCUUCACUUCAAAAUCCACAUCGGAAUGGUUGAACAGUAUAACACCAACCGGUCCCCUGUAGUCCGCAUCAAUCACUCCUGCACCGACGUCGAUCGAGUGCUUCCACGCCAACCCGGAUCGGGGAGCUGCAAUUUAAUACAAAAAGCAAAUUAAACUAUAAAGGUAAAAGCCAUAAGAAUUGUGCAUGACUUUAAUCGGAGAGAAACUUACCAACGCGUGCAUAGGUCCCUUCUGGAAUCGCGAUGCUGAUGUCAGUGGCUACCAGAGCCUUCCCUCUGGCAGGCACCUUUGUCUCGACCGCGCUAUCAAAAUAUCACAUCAGGUUUCAGUGAUUUAUUAAUUAAAAGCAGUGAAUGAUGAGAGAGCAAAGUGUGCAGUUAUACCUAGAGAGAUCGUAACCGGCGGAGAGAGGGGAAGCCCUGGAGGGCAAAACGGCCUUAUCGGAGAGCUUUUUGACGCGUAGAAAGGGAGGGGUUGAGGAAACGUCGUCGUUUUGGUGGAGUUUUGGGAUUUUGGGCGAUGGCUGGCAGGAGCCGUUGGUGGCGUGGGAGUCUGGUUGAGGUUGAGCCAUUAUAUAAACUGGGCGAUUACUGCUAAUGGAUAGAAUUGACGCGGGAAGAAGGGAUGGAGGGUAGGGUUUAUAUAGAGGAGGAGGAAGAGGAACAGAAAAGGCGCCCAAUGCUCUCAUGGCACCAAAUUUUCCCGCCUUUUUGUUUCUCGUGGGGUUUGAAUGGUCAAGAUUUAUACGGCACUGUCAGAAGCAUUGAGGACACGUUUAUUCUUCAUCCAUCCCUCCUAUACUAUUAUUAAAUUGCCUUACCUAUAUACUUAAUUAUUAUUUUAUUUAUGUUCACCUCCCAUUUUAUUUAUUCGUUCUGCUAAAUUUUUAUUUAUUAGAUGCAACUACUUGUAGCAGAAUUGCGGACUGCUAUAUUUUCUAAGGUUGCACCGUCAACAAUUCGAUUAGUAUCAAGAAAGGUUGCACUGUCAACAAUUCGAUUAGUAUCAAGGAAGGUCUUCUCACAUUUGCAUGACCUUGACCUUCGGUAUCAUCUAAGUUCAUAUUCCCUUAAUUUUGGUUAGAUGGAGUUUAUAUAUAGAUGAGAAUCAUAACACAAGCAUCUUUACAAAUCCACCCAGUCAUCCACUGAAACUCAACUCCGUAGGGAUUGACCCAUCAGCUG